UGGUUAGUGGCUGCAGUGAGAUUGAGUUAAUCACAGCUUGGGACCUUCCUCCUGGACUCAGCAAUAGCAAAUGGCCAAAUAGCUGCACUCAACCUGACCACUUAACAACUUCAGGACAGACAGAGAGGGGGAGAUCACUAUUACCAUCCCAUGUUCUGUAGCCUAUAAAUAGCCAACUUUUUGAUUGAUACAAGGAACAAAUGAGAGAAGAAUGCGUAAUUUUGCGCAUGAGCCCCCCCCCCCCCCAAGUAGAAGAGAGAGAAUGUGCGAAGAUAGAUAGGAGUGUGUAUGUGUUGGGGGGUGGGGGUGAGGGAAGAGAAAGCGGGAGAGAGAGCCCCAGGCAGAUCCACGCAGCAAACCUGUAGGGCGAAGGAUUUGCUAUUUAUCUCAGAGCGCCAGCCCGUUACACCUGAGGAGAGAGUAUCCCCAACUGUAAUGAUAGGAAAAUUGACAGAAAUCUGUGCAUGUUUUCAGCAUUUAAAACUUACGAGAUGAAGACAUCGAAAACCUGUACCUUCGGAACACAGGCCAGUGGUAAUACCAUCAAUUCAGCAGGAAUUAUUUUCGAACAAUAUCCGUGAUUUAGAAAUCACAUUUACAAAACUUGUAGUAUCAUAAAGAUAUUGGGGGCUAGAACAUCGCUUGAUAUUGGACGAAAUGUACAGUCCUUGGCUGGAGAAGAUGCGUUAGGCAAAGUAGGAAGUAUCAUCUGAGAGCUUUUGAAAUUUGGACGGAGCUUUGAAGGUAGACGAAAGAUAACAGCAAAGAACUUCAGUUGAAGCAGGAAAUAGAUAUCCGGAGACGGGGAACAUACUGAGAGGAAGACUUUGUGCAUUAAGUUACAAAUUACGAUUUGUCAAAACAUAUCUCAUACGGUACUUAACAGUAAUGUAAUGGGUGUGAGAAUGCUAAGGGAGGCAGUAUGCGAUUAAUUAUGAUAUAUAUUAAUAAUAAUACGCUUAAUGCAAAAUUAGGUGAAUAUUUCUGCUUGGAGACAAGGUGGGAACUUUCCUGUUGACAGUCCUCUCCGUUAGAAUUCAAUCUGCAUUACUGAACAUAUGACAGCAGUUUGCCAGACUAGUUUCUCUGCGAGAGUUAGUGGAUUUGUGACAUUUAAAUGUAUAAACAUGUAGCAAAAUGUGGAAAGUGUGUGAGUUUCACUCCCAAAGUUUCGAUCUCUAAUUUAUCGUUAAAGAUUUAUUAAAAUCUAAAGUUCAGCCGUUGAUCGCUGUGGUACAGCGUGGCACUACCCAAAUAUGAAACCUCACGUUUAGUCCUUCAAAGAGAGACAUGGAGUUAAUAUUCAAUCAUUAACAUGUUCUAACUUUAACUUUGGCUAUAUAAGUUCCUUUCUACAUUGCUAGCAUGAGAUGGAAUGUGUUCGCUUCCUGCAAGGCACGAAAGAAACAUCGCAUUAAAAAGUUUCAAAUCAACAACUUGGUGUAAUUCGCAGAGCCUGAAGCAUUUGUUGUACCACCUCAAGUUAAGCAGACAAAUGCAAUAUUUAUAUAUGCCUUUCCCGGCACAGUAAAACAAACCCCAUAAUGAAGGAUGGGGCAAAUCGUGAUUAUGAACCAUCCCAUGCAAUAAAUGCCAGCCUGCGGUAUUUGAAAUGUCACCUGAUGUCCCAGUCUCGCAAUGUUCGCCAUUUACAUUUUAUGGGUUUGUAGAAAUUACCGAGUAACUUUUACCUCUUAUAGCGCAAAAUCGGCAGAAAAGCGUUAAUCUGAAGGACAUUUAUUACCCCAAAUCUACAGUGAUCUCCAAACUUCUAUUCUAGCAAACUAACUUACGACUUCUCAACGAAACGAACGUGCCCGAAAACGAUGUAAAAUUUCGGUUGAAAACAUUUGCUUUGGAAGGUACCACGGUUCAUUCAAACGACCUAAGAUGUUUGGAUGUUAUAGGGACAGCAGAGAUGGAGGGUUACCUAUCGAUGAUUCCACAAUAUUUUAAAAGAUAAAGAACAGUGACUUCCAAUUUCCUUGUAAAAGUAUUGAAACUGUGUUAAGCAUCCUGUUGGUUGAGAAUGCUUAGAUAAAAUAAGGUUCUAAAGUUUUUGUUUUGUCUAAUCAGUUCCCUGCCUUGUACUGUCAAAGGAUCUACAAUGACAAGGGACCCCAGUAGUUGGGAUAGAAACUACACUUAGCGCCGCUGAAGGAAGUUGGAAACUGAGGCUCGGGAACUUCGAAAGAAUUUUUAAAGAGAAGGACAAUGCAAAACGUGAAACGCUGACGGUUCAAGUAGAGUCUCGACAUCACGUUCAAUUGUAAAACACGAUUUAAGGAAAAUUCACCGCGCAAUAGGAAUAGUUCUCCAACAAUGCUUGCUGCUGUGCUGCCAUGCAAAGAUAUGAACAGUUAUAAUGAAGGAUAUUUUUGCAAGACAUCCAAGCAGCGGCAGAUUAGAUAAACGCGCACUCAGACUGAGAGCUGAUAGCAGGGAAGGGUAAAUAACACUGAUGGAUAGAUACACGGAUACUGCAGCUCAGUGUGAGGAAAUUGACACCAAUAAUAUAAUCACUUUCCAGUUGGUGUGAAAGUGCAACUAUAACUCGAACCAGGACGCUAUUUGUGCCGCGGUUAAGCGGUGCUGCUUCGAGCAGAAUUGCAACUCGGUUCUUUAAGUAAUCGCAUCUUCGACAUCAAUGUCCCGAUGCAUCUGCAGUUGGUCAAAUAACUAAAUACACAGAUUAUAUCCGGGAACACCAUAAGUCUGUAGCUUAUCUCGUCGGAAGCUUGCACAGGUCUUGAUCUCUCUGGGUUUUACCGCGCUUUAUAGAGUCUGGUAUUUAUUUAAUGAAUUUUUAAAUAUAACAUGGUGUAUAUAUCAAUUAUUUUAUAUCAGAUGAGGGAAUUAAGUAUUGCCACCGUUACCAAGGCAACAGAGGCCAGAGGUUAAAAGUUGAAUCAAAAGAUGCACAAAGGAGUUUGAUGCACGAUUCAGUCACAUUGGCACAAGGUGUCAACAAGUUGGAAGCUCCUUUUAAAAAUAUAUGUAUACUGACAUUCCACCUAACUGUCUCAAGCUGAAACAUUACUGUGUCAGCACUCGAAUAGCAACUCCCGGCUAACUUUGCCUUCCAGCCCCACAAUGGUUACAAGAAGCCCAGAUUGUAUCGGGAUAGUUUGCCUCUAUUAAGUUGGGAAAUAACACUUGUGUGCUAUUGUUAUGACGAUCAGGAACAGAAAGGAUCAAAAAGAAAGAAACAGGAUCGAGCUGUGGAGCAAAUAAAUAACCGGGCCACGUCGGUGGAGCCAGUAUUGUUCAUCAUUACACAAUGACAAAAAAAGUGACUUGCCUGCUUUAUCCUGAGGAGAAUCUGAAGAGAGGCUGAUUGAUAUUUUAAAACAUGGGACUUAUGGCUGACGGUCAAGUGGUCUAGUAGUUUCACUACUAGGCAGUAUUUAAGUAACAAAUCAAAUUGUAGCAUCUACUUCUCUGAGAUUGGAUUGUUACCUAUUGUCCUCAUCCUCCACUUUUGGAGGCUAAUCUGUCACUUGCUAUGUUGUUGUGUUGUUUGGAAAUCUUUCUAUAAAUCAUUGAUACCCAUCCUUCCUUUGAAAUCUGUUUGAUCAUGUAUUUUGUUCCAUGCCCCUAAAACUUCCCUUUCAGCUGCUUGGCAAUUAUCUUAUCAUUUUGUCACAUUCUUUAAGACACUCUUUUGUAUGAGGGCUGCAAUGAAAACUGUGACUUGU